rnacentral:rRNA from 1 species
GACGAACGCUGGCGGCGUGCUUAACACAUGCAAGUCGAACGGAAAGGCCCUGCUUGCAGGGUACUCGAGUGGCGAACGGGUGAGUAACACGUGGGUGAUCUGCCCUGCACUUCGGGAUAAGCCUGGGAAACUGGGUCUAAUACCGGAUAGGAGCCAUUUUUAGUGUGAUGGUUGGAAAGUUUUUUCGGUGUAGGAUGAGCUCGCGGCCUAUCAGCUUGUUGGUGGGGUAAUGGCCUACCAAGGCGGCGACGGGUAGCCGGCCUGAGAGGGUGGACGGCCACAGUGGGACUGAGAUACGGCCCAGACUCCUACGGGAGGCAGCAGUGGGGAAUAUUGCACAAUGGGCGCAAGCCGGAUGCAGCGACGCCGCGUGGGGGAUGACGGCCUUCGGGUUGUAAACUCCUUUCGCUAGGGACGAAGCUUUUUGUGACGGUACCUAGAGAAGAAGCACCGGCUAACUACGUG